CGCGCUCUGGGGAGGCGCCAAGAUGGCGGCGGGUCGCUGCUCCGGCUUCGCGUGGGGCGCCGGCCCACAGUCCAGGAGGGCACAUAAAGAAUGCUUUCUCUUUGGCUUACUCAGCAUGAUCUCAUCAAGACAGCAUUUGUGAGCACCUGCCUGGCGGACUAACCUUGGGGCCACCCUCCAUGUGGGCACCACGUUCCUUUGCAGAAGGAUGGAAGAGAUGCACUGCCAAGCACAGAAUCUGGUUCACCCUGGAGGCUCGGGAAACGCCUGUCGCCAGCCUUGAGAGUCCCUGCCUCAGGAAUGUGGAGCAGCCCAGUGGCUCUCUCUUCAGGAGCCAGGCUGGCCCUGAGUCAGAGCUGGAGACUCCUCACUGCAGUUUCAAGAAGGUUGCAGUUGGGGGUGAGGAAUGAAGUUCUGUCAUCUUCUCAGAAGCCCGAGGAUUUAGUUUAUCAAGUCCCUUUCUAGUAUGUUGGGAUGUUUUCUGGGGUAUCUGGAUCUGAAAUGGGAUUUCACUUGGAGGAGCUAUAUAAGGCUUUCAUAAUUAAAAAAAAAAAUCUACUAAAAAAUCAGAAUUGUAGAGCACUGGCUAGCUCAUUGGGAAGAGCAUGUGAAUCUUGAUCUCAGGGUCAUGAGUCCAAGCCCCAUGUUGAGUGUAGAGGUUACUUAAAUAAACUUUAGAAAAAUAAAAUAUUUUUAAAAAUCAGAAUUGUUAUGAAUGUGAAUGUGUAUAAUGUAUAUUUUGAAUAUAAAAACCUUGUAAACCAAAGUGCCAAAUGAGAUGAUCCCCGGGUGUUUUUUAUGUGCAUGUACACAUAAAAUAAUAUGGUCUUACAAUAAAACAGAUUUGGAAAUGUC